AAUUUAUCUGUGCAAUUCAGUAUAAUUUGAUAAUAAUUUUCUUACUAUAUUUUCUUUUAAAAUUUAUGAGAAAUAU
rnacentral:tRNA from 1 species